AGCCCUUUAUCAGACCAUGAAUGGCUCCCUUGCUCCGGCUCCCUGCCUGGCUCUACUCCACUUCCACCUGGAACUGUGGGGCACCAUCAGCUGGGAAGACGGCAUUCUCUGAAUCAGGUGCCCCAGGACCUGCACACAGACAGUGCUCAACAGUCGUAUGUGCAGCUAGCUUCCAUUCUGCUCAUCCUCGGUAGGUGUGAAUCCAAAUGUUCCUGGGAAUAAAGCCAGUAAGAACCUACUGGAAGCAUCUCCCAGUAUCAUUCUCACUUGGAUAUACAGGAGCUUCUUGACUCCGGAUACAUCAUUCUCUCAUUCUUGUACCCGCUGACUCACUAAAGCUGGUUGAAGAAGACACAUUCUGAUAAAGGAUAAGUGUUGGGUGUUAAAGACACAAAGAUGAAAAUCCUCAAAAGAACUCAAGGAACUCUCAAUCUCAUAAGGAAAAAAGUACCAAGAAUGAAUCGGGACAGUGCGGGAAGACAAGCACGAAGCGGAGCUGCAGAGUGCUAUGGGGACGCGAAGGAAGGCAGCACAGCCAUUUUGACUGAAAAGGAGGAAGUGGGAAAGUUCUCAUGAAAGAAGUGACAGUAAUCAAUGCGUUUGUUUCCCAGUGCAACUCUGGACUCAUCAAGGACAGAGACUGUAUCUUAAUUAUUUUUCUAUCUCUUGUAACUAGCAGUGUACCUGGAACACAGAUUUAUUGAACAAAUAAUGAAUUAAUAUGCAAGUCAAGGAGACUGGACUAAAGGAACUUUACAUAACUUCCAAACCAUAUUCUUAUUUUAGGAAAUAGAGCAGAAUUAGGUAAGAUGAAGUGUCGUGAGGAACUUACUUUCAAAUGGACUCUGGAGAAGAAGAGAAUAGAUAAGGAAAUUUUCUAAAAUAUGAACAAUAUUGAUAACUUGGUUGUAUAUCUAAUACUAUAUCCUGAACUAGUCUUUCACCUUUUUGGAAAAGUUUAAUAAUUUACUUGGAAAAAUUUAAUAAUUAAGAGAUGACAUUAAAGAAAAAGAAUUAACAAAAAAAAAUUUCUCAAUGUGACAAACAGGUAGCCACAUUGAUCUGUGUGGAGUUUCAGGGCCCAGCCAAAGUUGGAGCACCAGGAAAUCCUCCUGGCAUAAAUAGAAAUGAUAGUUUCACAGUGAGACUAGCUGAGCAAGUGCUGUAGAGUUUCACAGAACUAAACGGUGAGUCCCAAAUUACAAAAAUGCACCCGUCUCUGGUUUUGACCCAUGAGAAGGUGAGGAGGUCUUGCAGGUACAGUUGCCCAGGAAUGUGUGAAUAUGAGGAUGUGCAGCUUUACACAAACUGUAUGUUGAAUAUAUGUGUUGAGUUUUUUAAAUUAAUUAAUUAAUUAAUUAAUCAAACUUUUAAAUAUAACUUUGGGAAGCAAUGCUCAUUCUAAAAUUUAGGCAUUCUUUGGAAAGAAUAGGCCAGAUAUAUAGGUCAGCAAUGUUCCCUGAAAAUGGUUACCUUGGAAAAGAACUAUGUUUGAAUGCAACUAAUUCUAUACCUCUAGAACCUAAAAUAAAUUAAGCCCACUUGGUAGGAGCUUAGUACUUCAGAAUUCCUUUUUUAUACCCUUUAAUUUAAAUUUUUUAAAUUAUUAUUUUAUUAUUUGAUUUUCCUUUGGAGGGAUGAAUAUUUGUGCUGUCAAAGACAUUAGCAAUUCCUUAUCCUGGAAAUUAAGAGUUAUGAAUAUGGACUUUGUGUUACUUCCUGUUGGAUGCUAGAAUAUGUUCCACUCAGGAACACUACUGUAUCUUAUUAUGGGACUAACUUUGCUGAAAUGGGUAUUGGAACCAAUAAUUCCACAGAAGUCAUCCAGAAUCACUACUAAGGGGACUAGUCCUUUCUUGAUGGGUCAGCUCAUUCAAGGCUCCAUCAAGCCAGGGAAUAUGCAUUCCAUUUGGAAAGAAGAACCAGGGGAAGUUUAAUGGAGGCUUGUCUUACACCAGAAAUACCAAAACUGUCCCACAAAACCAUUCUCUUGAGAAAUUGGAAGAGCAACAUAUCCCUUUGGGACUGGAAUGUUCAGGGAAAUGGUUUGAUACCUACACAAGCUAAUCCUUCCCACAUAAGCAACCCUCCUUUGAUUUUUAAUUUAUUACCAAGGUAAGUGUUUUGGGUUCUGCAUAUACUGAAGAGUCAAAAACAUAGCUUUUUGUGCUCAAGGAUUGUUUGUAUCUUAGGGCUUUUUGACCCAGCAUUCUGUAAUUAAUUAACAAUUAUGACUGCUGCACAUUGCAAAUAAUUUGUUUAUACUUGUUGGGUAGAACAGGAAACAGAUCCCAUGGAGAGAUGGUAGGUCCAGCACAGUUAUGCCAGGGUUGGGAGGGUUCUUAGCCUGGCCUGCCAUUUUUUUCUGACAUCCAAUUUCCUAACUUGAAAUUUGAAUGUUGAACAGUGUUACUUACUUGAAAUUUGAAUGUUGAACAGUGUUGCAAGCAGUGAGUAAGAGGAAUCAAGUUUGGUUCCAAGAAGUGGAUUUUACUCAUGUAGUGCACACUCAACUUAACAUUCCUAGUAAUAGUAAGUCACAAAUACAUUGAAGAUUCACUCCCUUGUUCACCUACAGUCCAGUCCCCAUGAACUUACUCAAUGCAACGUCUCUUAGCCAAGAAGCCAGUCAACAAGACCGAGGGGAUUCUUCUCAACCAUAGCCUCUCUCAGCUCCUCAGAUGUCUUUGGAUGUCCUCAGGUAUCUGAUAAGCCAGAGGCUGGAUGGCAGUCGUUGCUGUGGGAAAGGUGGUCAGUCAUCUGGCCUUGGUAACAAUGGUCAAUCAGCAAUCAGUGAAGGAGUGGACAGCAGCUGGGGCAGUCAAGAGACAGAGCGACGUGGAGUCCUCUGGUCACGGUGCUGCUGAUGGUUCGUUCCAAAAGUCCAGGGAUUUAAGUAGCGAUUUUCAGCCCAGUCAUGCUCUGGUCUUCAUUGAUAAAGACCAGAACACAACUAGACUAGGAGCCACCACUGAAAUCAUAGAUAAAGGUUCAUAAUUGUUCAGGAGCGUUAUUCUGCCACAGAGCAAGUUUGUCACCAGGCGCCUUUUAUGAUUUUAGUUUUACGAGUCCAGGCAAACACCAAAUAUAGCUUAUUAUUACCACAAAACACACAACUAUAGCAAUUCCUUUUAUUUCCUUGUCUCAUUGCAAACAGACUUCCAAGAACUUGCCUGGGGCCCAGGGCAGAGAAACAAAGCCCCUGCUUUCCAAUAGCUUCCUUUGAUCACACAGUGGUUAAGGGAAAACAAUAGCCCUGGUGGAGGCUUCUCAGUCUUGCUGAUCAGAAAGGAGACUGAAUAGCUGGGGUAAGGUCACUGAGGGUUUGUCCUCUAAAGCACAAAGUCUUUAAUUAGCCUCUUCCCCAGCUUCUGCCAGAUCCCUAUCUACCCGCCUUCAGCAACCCAAGUUAGUCUUCAUUCACUUUUCAUAGCUUCCUCUAAUUCUCUUAUUCUCCUUUCCUACUUUUCAAAGGAUAGAUUGAAUGUUCUUCUACUAUUUUAAAAGCUUAAUAUUUGUUUUUUUCAUAAGAUCCAUACCCAGGUUCAUAUGUACCUAUUGGUAACUUCAUGUGUCAAUACUUUUAUCUUCAUUAAAAAUUAUUUAAUAUGUUUUAUCUUCAAAUUCAUGUAUUCAUGCUAAACAUUAGUUAUGAAUUAAAA